UGGAAACGUGCCUGUCAUAGAAGUGAAAAAUAAACACCCUGUGGAGGUUGUGUACCUUAGUGAGGCUCAAAAGGAUUCUUUUGAGUCUAUUUUACGCCUUAUCUUUGAAAUUCACCACUCGGGUGAGAAAGGUGACAUUGUAGUCUUUCUGGCCUGUGAACAGUGUACAACCCGAGAAUAAGAGCAAACUCGCUCGUCAUGCAGCCCAUCAGCCAGAGCCAGGCAGAGAUACGCAAGCAGAUUCUUGGCUCAUCUUCUUCAGAAAAUUUUUCUGCCUGUACACUGAAGAAUUUGCCUCCAAAGACAUGA
rnacentral:lncRNA from 1 species